GACGAAGGGGGCUAGCGUUGUUCGGAAUUACUGGGCGUAAAGCGCGUGUAGGCGGUUGCCAAAGUCGGGUGUGAAAGCCUUGAGCUCAACUCAAGAAUUGCGCUCGAUACUUGGUGACUAGAGGACCGGAGAGGAUAGUGGAAUUCCCAGUGUAGUGGUGAAAUACGUAGAGAUUGGGAAGAACACCAGUGGCGAAGGCGGCUCUCUGGGACGGGUACUGACGCUGAGACGCGAAAAGCGUGGGGGAGCGAACAGG
rnacentral:rRNA from 1 species